ACAAUUUGAUAACCAGGGUUGACUGCUACAAAAAUCAGCCUAAAAAACCAAAGCAAAACCCUAAACCUCUGUUGCAACUCAGACGUAGCUUUUAGAUGUACAGUGGUCACCAUUAAAAUCCUCAACAUUUUGCCUUUGCAAACCGAUAUGACUGUGGUAUUCCCCAUGCAUAGUAUAGAGUGCUACAGUAAUCUUCGUUGCCAUUACAUUUAUAAAGAUUUUAAUAGAAAUGACUUCAAUUGAUCUGCAAUAUCCGUUUGUCUCUUAAGUAACAGUAUAUAUGUACUUUGUCUAGUAUUGGUAGUUAUUUUUCCUUUGGUCUUAAGCUAAAGAGAAGAAGGCUAAAUUAUCCACAGUAGUGUUUUCACAGUUUCCAUUUUCAUUUGGAGAAAAUCAGAUAUGGGGACACAAUCAGUUGGUUAAUCAUUAGAGCUGGGUGACAUUUUUUGGGUGAAUCGUUUACUCACCAAAAAAUACCAUUUUGGUGGAUCUGAAACCAUUUGCUAAUUCAACUCAAUAGUUCUGGCUGGAAAAAGUUUUUUCAGAGUCAGCAGAGUGAGUGUGUGCGUGCGCCCUGCCCCCCUUUAUUAACUUUAGUCAAGUGCAUAGGGCACUGGGAUGCAGGAGACCCAGGUUUGAAUCUCCACUCUGGAGCAGCGGCUUUAAAUGAGAUUUCCCGCCUCCCAGGUGAGUGCCUUAAUAACUAGACUAUAGACUCAUCAUCAUCACUCUCUUUGGCCAGUGACUAUUUAAAAAUUUGUACAAAGUGGAGCAGUUUCAACAGGAGAGAUUGAGAGCAACCUGCUCUAGAAUAGCCUAUAGCUUGAGGGAAAGACCUGAUUUCAAGUCCCUGCUCUAGAGUGGGGAUUCAAACCUGGGAGUUCCACAUCCUGGGCAAAGCCUGUAACCUCUGGGCCAAAGGUUAUAAAGGUACUCAGACGUAUAUGGGUGUAUGUUUGCUGACCCUGAAAUGGACUUUUCCAAUUUGCUGACUUUUUAGAACUAAACCUAGUUAUCUUCCUGACUUUUUCAGUUUGCUGGCCAAACCAAAAAAUCAGUUAUUUGCCCAGCUUUGUUAGUCCGUAAGGAUUUCUUGAAGAUCUAUCCUUUUUCUUAAACUUUGUGUCAAGAGUGGUUAGUUGUACUUUAUUCUUAAGAAGUUAAUCUCUGAUUUAGUGGUCUGCAGAUACUUUCAAAAUUCAGAUUGAAAAUGUAAUUUUAAGGAACUAACUAUUUUACUCUCAUUUAUAUUUAAACUUGUUAUAAAUUGUCUUAAUUUUGAUACACAGAAUGCAAAUGAAUAGUACAAAGACUUAGAUGUGUAUAGAUUAAAUGUGUGAUAUUACAAGAGGUGGUUAAACAUCGGUCAGUUGAUAUGCUGUUACAUGAAAGUUAAACUUGAGCCUGAAACGCAUGUAGCAUUUUUGUAGUGUGUGUGUAUAUAUACUGUAAUUACGUGUGUGUGUGUGUCUAUUAAAAAUAGAGUAGAGAUCUUCUAGAUUGUAAUGCAAGAUCGGAAACAGUUAAGUAUAGUGUAUGUGAAAUCAAUGUUUAUAUCCUUAUGAAGCUCCAAGAGAUUUUCCACAAGAUAUAUUGUACUUUUAGUUUAUUAUAUGUUAGUCUGUCAUAACAAGUAACCUUAGCUGACUUGGUGUAUCUCUUGGAUUGUACUUUUGACAUUGAAGUUCUGUUUGUGCAGUAACCAUUAGGUGGAGUAUAGGGCUCUAGACAGCCAAGAAAACUUGUGUAAGAGAAUUAGUGGUGCCUUCAGUGUGAAUUGGAGAUCCAGGUCAUAUCUGUGAUAUGUAAUGUUUUGGCUUAGUAUAUCUAGAUUAAUCCGGAAUGACCUGACUCGCCAUCAUGCUCAAAAAUCUGUCUCCAACACUUAUCUGCUUUAGGAUCAGAUCUUUGUAACUUGUCAAAUACAUAAAUCUGUGGUUUAUGGUUUUGGGUUUUAGCAUAUUUCAUUGUGUUUUUAAAAUAGAAAUUCAACUUAAAAAUUGGCUCUCAGUACUUCAGAGGUACAUACGGUUAAAAUAACAGACGGCCAAGUAGAUAGUCUGGUCUAAAUUUUCAAAAAUAGCCAGUGAUUUUGAGUGCCUUUGUUUUUGGGUGGCCAACUUUAAGAAAUGUGGACAGAAAUGACAACCUUACUUGGGCAUAUUAAACAUAUUUUUGUGUGAAUGUGGGGAGGCGGGAAUCUGUCUUUAUCUUUAACAGUUAGAGAGGUAUAGUAGGCAGUUUUUGCAAAAUUCUCACUUCUGGUAAUGCAUUGUUACUUUAUGGAAGGAAAAAAAGCAUCUUAACCCAUUGACCUCAUGAGCUGAUAUUGUCUGCCACAGCUGCUUUUAGCAAAACAUGAAAAGAAAAAUGGUCAUGUCAAAUUGUAUGUGCUUGACAAGCAAAGGAAAACAGUGCAGUUUCAUGUGAUAUAAAAACAUUUUUGCUGCAAGAACUUCAUUUUUGAUCAUGUGAUCUAGAUGGUACAUGUGUUUUCUUUGACUGCUCAGACUGUAAUUAAAGUAGUGUAGUCACUGACCUUACUUUAUUCAACUUGGUGUCUUUCAAUUUCUUAUCUUUAAAGAAUUUUUUUUUUCACAAUUAGCUUGAGAAGGCCUGGAGCUCAAGAAAAUAUACUGUGGGAAAUAAUUAUCUUCUGAUAAAGGAAUGUACUAGAUAACCUAAUUGCUCCUGCCCAUUGAAAUUAAAUAUGUCAUAAUGUAGAAUAUGAAUGUUCUAAAAGAUUUUUUGAAAUGUGAAUACUAUCCCUUAGAUUAAAAAUAAACUUUUUUUUUUUCUUUUGGCAAAUUAUUAAACUCUUUUUUUGUAAGGGACAGUGAUUCAGUCUUCAGGAAUAUUUUAAAGUGAAAAUUUCCAAAUCAGAAAUUUAGAUUUGUGAACAGAUAUAAGGCAUGGGACUGCUGUUUCAUUGGCAUGUACUAAUCUUGAAAAUUCUGCUUCUGGAAGUUGAACAAAUUUAUUUCUUAUUUGUGUAUUCUGCAGUUCAUGACAAUAAAGUUAACAGUUCAUUUCUGAUCAAAAUAUUUUGUUGAAGUCUGUGGCCCUGAUCCUGCAAAGACUUAAGUGGGGGCUUUGAUUUUUGCUGUAUCUGGGCCUUUAUCGCAGAAACACGUAGUUUGGUUUGCCUACACUUUAACCCGCCAUUGUCAUAAAAUAAUAAUGUAUGCAUUUCUUUAAUUAUAUGUAGUAUUAGAAUUUGAGCAUUUGAUACUUUUUUUUCUAUCUCCACCACAUCAGGACCAGGAUAUGGAAUGAUAAAUUUAAAAAAAAUUAUUUGUAUUGAUCAUGCAAGAAGAGUAAGUAAACGUGCAUACAUAUUGGAAGGAAAAAAUUGGUCAGUGACAAAACUGCUGACUUCAUGAAGGCCAGGAUUUCACCUGGAAAUUCUGUGCAAUAGUGUUGUUUUUUCUCCCCUCAAAUACGCAUGUCAAGCACUGGUAAUCAGAUUUGAUUUCUACAAAAAAGGCACAUGCCUAGCAGAG